GGUUGAGAGUACCUGAAGAAUAAGCACCGGCUAACUACGUGCCAGCAGCCGCGGUAAUACGUAGGGUGCAAGCGUUAAUCGGAAUUACUGGGCGUAAAGCGUGCGCAGGCGGACUUUUAAGCCAGAUGUGAAAGCCCCGAGCUUAACUUGGGAAUUGCGUUUGGAACUGGGAGUCUAGAGUCUGUCAGAGGGGGAUGGAAUUCCACGUGUAGCAGUGAAAUGCGUAGAGAUGUGGAGGAACACCGAUGGCGAAGGCAGUCCCCUGGGAUAAGACUGACGCUCAUGCACGAAAGCGUGGGGAGCAAACAGGAUUAGAUACCCUGGUAGUCCACGCCCUAAACGAUGUCUACUAGUUGUUGGGGUAGCAAUACCUCAGUGACGCAGCUAACGCGUGAAGUAGACCGCCUGGGGAGUACGGUCGCAAGAUUAAAACUCAAAGGAAUUGAC
rnacentral:rRNA from 1 species